rnacentral:piRNA from 1 species
UGCUUGCACACUGGGGAUCAG